CGAUAACGAACGAAGACCUUAACCUGCUAAAUAGCCAGGCUAGCUUUGGCUGGUCGCCGGCUUCUUAGAGGGACUAUCGGCUCAAGCCGAUGGAAGUUUGAGGCAAUAACAGGUCUGUGAUGCCCUUAGAUGUUCUGGGCCGCACGCGCGCUACACUGACAGAGCCAACGAGUUCUUCACCUUGACCGAAGGUCUGGGUAAUCUUGUUAAACUCUGUCGUGCUGGGGAUAGAGCAUUGCAAUG
rnacentral:rRNA from 1 species